rnacentral:tRNA from 1 species
GCUCGGGUGGUGGAACUGGUAGACACGCAGGACUCAAAAUACUGUGACCCUAAAAGUCGUGCGGGUUCGAUUUCCACCCCGAUAG